GGGCCGGUAGCUCAGGCAGGAAGAGCAGCGGAUUUUUAAUCCGUUGGCCCCAGGUUCAAGUCCUGGCCGGCCCA
rnacentral:tRNA from 1 species